rfam:Pseudomonas sp. BRH_c35 BRHa_1002385, whole genome shotgun sequence.
CCACUCUGAAGCGCAGGACGCGCUCAGGAUCAGGAAGAUCGACCAUCGCCAGGACGGCAAUCGAAGGGAAUUCGGAAAGGUCAGAAAAAACCCGCUUCGGCGGGUUUUUG